rnacentral:rRNA from 1 species
CGGGGCUAAUGCCGGAUAACAUGUUGAACCGCAUGGUUCUACAGUGAAAGACGGUCUUGCUGUCACUUAUAGAUGGACCCGCGCCGUAUUAGCUCGUUGGUGGGGUAACGGCCUACCAAGGCGACGAUACGUAGCCGACCUGAGAGGGUGAUCGGCCACACUGGAACUGAGACCCGGUCCAGACUCCUACGGGAGGCAGCAGUAGGGAAUCUUCCGCAAUGGGCGAAAGCCUGACGGAGCAACGCCGCGUGAGUGAUGAAGGUCUUCG